rnacentral:lncRNA from 1 species
GGAGCGUCACUGAUGAGUCUUAUAAAGACGAAACGCGCGUCUGUCAUAUUAGAUUAUAAUCCUGGUACUUUUGAUAACUACAUGUAGUAUAUUCAAUUGUUAAAAUAACUGUUAUGCUAAAACACUGAAAAUACGAGUUAAAUCUAGCCAUUCGUUUCCGAUUGUCGUUACUACAAACCCGUUCCCUUUUCAACGAUGUGAUCUACCGAGUAAGAUUUAGGGACGACAUCAAAAGUUCAAUGGAAGAUAAAAAACUAAAUUCACAUAGUUCUUUCACUGACCCCCCUACCCCCCUCUUAACUUAAUUUGGGAAAAAUUGAUAGACCCAUAUGGAUAUAUGUAAAAAUCAAUGUUGGAUAACCAAAUCUUGCAGCAAUUCAACCCCCACC